GAUCAUGACAAUGUCAAGUAUUUGAAGAAAAUUCUUGAUGAGUUGGAGAAGGUCUUGGAUCAGGUUGAAACUGAAUUGCAAAGAAGAAAUGAAGAAACCCCAGCUUCUCAUAUGCAGCAUACUGGUGGAAGGACAGCUCACCUGGUGCCAAAGACAACAGUGGACUUGGCAGAGCUUGCUGCCUUGACAGUGUAUCAAUAGCAGAGCUGAUCUGGCACCUGCCAGUUGGGUUUAUUUCAGCAAACCCACUUUAAAAAUUUUAUUAGCAAAUAAUGAAUAAAUAGGUUUGGAGACUUUC
rnacentral:sRNA from 1 species